GAUGAACGCUAGCGGGAGGCCUAAUACAUGCAAGUCGAGCGGUAGAGUGACUUCGGUUGCUUGAGAGCGGCGAACGGGUGAGUAACGCGUACACAAUCUACCUUUAAGAGGGGAAUAGCCCUGGGAAACUGGGAUUAAUGCCCCAUGGCAUCACGAGACGGCAUCGUUUUGUGAUUAAAGCUGAGGUGCUUAGAGAUGAGUGUGCGUCUGAUUAGCUAGUUGGUGCGGUAACGGCGCACCAAGGCGACGAUCAGUAGGGGGCGUGAGAGCGUGGACCCCCACACGGGUACUGAGACACGGACCCGACUCCUACGGGAGGCAGCAGUAAGGAAUAUUGGUCAAUGGAGGAAACUCUGAACCAGCCAUCCCGCGUGCAGGAAGAAUGCCCUAUGGGUUGUAAACUGCUUUUAUCUGGGAAGAAAAGUCGGGAUUUAUCCUGAUCUGACGGUACCAGAGGAAUAAGCACCGGCUAACUCCGUGCCAGCAGCCGUACGG
rnacentral:rRNA from 1 species